CCAAGGUACAGGAAUCGGGUAUAAUAACGUCAAAUUUUAUUUUUGUUUUUUAUCGUAUGUCAAAAUUAAAUUAAUUUGAAAAUUGAACGCGUUGUAGGUGCAAAUGGAGGCCAUUGAAGGGACGCACGACAGGAAUCAGGGGCCAACAAUAUCAAAUAAGUUGAUCCUCGUACUUCUAGCAGCAAUGUUUAUAUUUCUAAUAAGUCUUUUUGUACUAUUUCUCGUCAUUUUUAUACUUGAGCAGUGCGCUGCUUAGGACACAUCAACCAAGAUGCAACGCGUUUUGUAAUUGAAGUAGUUUCAAGGAAAUUUUGAUGCGGCGAUAAGCAAAACGCACUGAGUUUCACUUGCAGUUCUCUGACGCUCAAAUACAAACUCAGAACGUGGAAGGUUGAAGGGGCAGCAUGGAUAACAAACCCCCAGUCGCACCUUUAGACGGCCCUAAGCGUGUCCUUGAGCGCACUUUUCUGCCACUUGCCUUCUAUUUGUAAUUUUAACGAGCUGUUGUUGCUGCCGCUGCUGUUGCUAUUGCAGUUUUGCUUACUGUUUGCACAGCUCAGCGACUGUCGAACACUUGUGCAACAUUUUGGUGUACAACUGAAAGGGCUCAGUAACUGGAAUUUUCCUUUCAAACUCGCACAUUGUCACUUUUCUUUUUGCGUGUCUCAAAAGAAAAUGAAUUUCCUUUGGCAUUUCCUUGACUGGUUGUGCAUUUCAGAAGAUUUCAUACGAAGCCCACACGCCCACAAACUUGCAGUUCAGUUGGCAUGUUUGCUGCAUGUGCAGUAAUAUCCGGAGGAAGCGCGAAAAACUUUUUCAGGUAUUUAAGUGGCCAGAGCAAAAGUCUAAAGCCGAACGUUGCCAACUCCCCAAAGAAUACGCCAGUUACAGCAAGUUGUGCAAGUUAUUUAAGUCGGGCCAAGCUAUUCCUCAACAUCUUGGCGACUUUGACUUGCGCCAUUUCGCAAUGUGCACACUUCCGUUUCCGGCCGCAAACCAACAACUAGAUAUGUUCAGUACUUGAAUUCGUUUUAAAUGAAAUUGAGUUUAAAUUUGGAGUCCAUCCUGAGACUUCUUCUGCAGUAUGUAUACCAGGAACCCCUUAGUACAAUCAGCGUGGAUUUAUCAGGAUAAACCAGAGUACAGCAGUUGCCUAAAUUGCUGUCGAAAAUCAAAAAGAUAAAUAAAAAACAAUCUCCUUACAAACAACGCAAUUUGAUUGAGAUAUGCAUAUGUGUAUGUGUAUCUAAAUUUUGUGGUGUUGCCUGCCGGCUGUCGAGUAGGACAUGAAAUACGAUUUGGUAUUUACUUUUACAGCAAAUUGCUUUUAGCAGCAGCUCCUGAGACGGCCCUAACAAAUUAUGCAAGCAUUCCACUUGGCUGAUUUAUGACGACAAGCGACAGUUGCGAAUAGUUGGAAAAGGCCACACGUCACCUAUCAACACAGCUCUCGUUCCGUUUUACGAAGGAGCCAAUCCAAUUUUAAUUAAAGCCAAACACAUUUGCAGUCUCAUUUCAAAAUCACUCAUUUGUGGCAUAAUUUGAAUAGACGAUUCAGGACGUAAUUCGAACUACAGCUACAUUUUAGUUGGUAUUAUAUUACGGACAUUUGUUGUAAGGUUUAGAAUCUCAAAAUACUGAGCUAGGGAUUUGCGAUUAGUCUAAUUAGUUCAGGUGAGUGAGGACGUUGCAUCUAGUUAGAUUUAAAUGAAUAUAGAAGUUGACAAGGGUAAGAAAAAAAGACAAGUUAGAUGUGAAGGAACAAACAACUUGACAAGGGUAAGAAGAAAAGAUAAAAAUCAAUCAACAAUUAUCAACAAUUCGCCUACAAAAGAAAAAGGACACCGCAUUAAUUUCACCUAAGUCUAUCAGACGAAUUUUCAUAAAUUACCAAUUUAGAUCUCUAGCUUAACGAAAUAUGUGUUGCUAUACCAAGAUUCCUAUUGAUUAACUGUCAACAAAAAACUAUGCAUUACCUUUAUUUUACUUUUACAAACUAAAUCAAGGACAAAAAAUAAAAAAAAAUUGAAGUUAUCAAAAUUGUAAGUAUUUUUAUUUAAUAUGGAUAAUAGACCAGAGUGGGGAAAAGGAUGUAGUCGUGGAUGUCUUUUACCCCAACGGGUUGUUGUUGCUAUAAUGAGUUUUUUGGCAAUCAUUUGCGCCUACACUCAUCGUGUUUCAAUUUCUCAUGUUAUCACCAAAUUGGUAGUACCCAUUAAUCGGACAAACGAUGAAGUGGAUCACGAAGAUGUAUGCCCAGUAGAUGAAGACACCUCGACAGAGACCCCUCUAAAUAAAGGCGAUUACGACUGGAGUGAACAGAUGCAGGGCUACAUUCUGGGCAGCUUCUAUUUGGGUUAUCUUAUCUCGCAACUGCCAGGCGGAGUCUUGGCUGACAAAUAUGGUGCCAAAUGGGUGCUGAGUGCAUGCUUGCUGCUUUCUGGUCUGUGUACAAUGUGUUUGCCAUUGGCAAUACAUGUGGGUGAAGAAUGGGGACUAAUAGUAAUGCGUGUGUUUACGGGACUAGCACAAGGACCUCUGUUUCCAGGGCUCACGGCCUUGCUCUCCUCUUGGGUACCAUCCCAUGAGCGUGGCAGAUUGUGUGCCUUUGCCUUCAGUGGAGUUACUAUAGUUUUUUUUAUGUACUAGCCGACCGGACCAACAUCCGUGCAUUAAGCCUGAAGAGCUUAGCUAUCUGACUGAAGCAUUGGGAGAACGUAGCCAGGGAAAGUCGCCGCUACCAUGGAAGGAAUUGUUACUCAGUGUGCCUUUACUGGCGUUGGUAAUAAGUCAAAUCGGCCAUGACUGGGGUUACUAUGUAAUGAUUACGUGUCUUCCCAAAUACAUUGCUAAUGUUAUUCGGUUUUCGAUUCGAUCGAAUGGAUUUGUGACGGCCCUUCCAUUUCUUGCUAUGUUCAUUUGUACAAAUCUUGCUGGUUUACUUGCAGAUUAUAUAAUUAAGUCGGGAAAAAUGUCUAUAACCAAUGAACGUAAAUUAUAUACUUUUAUAUCUGCCUUUGGACCUGGUGCAUUCACCGUCUUGGCUUCAUAUGCAGGAUGCAAUAAGAUUCUUGUAAUUGGUUUGUUUACUUUUGCAAUGUUUCUAAUGGGUUUUUAUUACUCUGGACAAAAGUUGACACCCAUGGACAUGUCACCAAGCUAUGCAGGCACCUUAAUGGCGAUUUGCAAUGGACUUGGCUCUCUUGCAGGUUUAGCCUCACCUCCAGUUGUCGGUUAUUUGACGCCAAACGCCACAAUGAAUGAGUGGCGCGUUGUAUUUUGGUUGGGUUUCGUGAUCUUUAUCAUAUCUGCUAUUGUAUUUGCGGUCAUUGGCACAGCAGAGGUUCAGCCUUACGAUCCAGCAUAUACAGGCGAAAAGAAAAAAGGAUAAAUCUAUGAUGUAUGAAUAUAGAAUAAAGUAGUUACAAUAAUUUUACAAAA